UACGUAGGCAGCGAGCGUUGUUCGGAGUUACUGGGCGUAAAGAGUAUGUAGGCGGUUGCGUAAGUUUGGUGUGAAAUCUCCCGGCUUAACUGGGAGGGUGCGCCGAAAACUGCGGAGCUAGAGUGUGGGAGAGGAAAGCGGAAUUCCUGGUGUAGCGGUGAAAUGCGUAGAUAUCAGGAGGAACACCGGCGGUGUAGACGGCUUUCUGGACCAUUACUGACGCUGAGGUGCGAAAGCGUGGGGAGCAAACAGG
rnacentral:rRNA from 1 species